UCCCUAGUGGCUCAGAUGGUAAAGCAUCUGCCUACAAUGCAGGAGACCUGGGUUCAAUCCCUGGGUUGGGAA
rnacentral:tRNA from 1 species